rnacentral:rRNA from 1 species
AUUGAACGCUGGCGGCAGGCCUAACACAUGCAAGUCGAACGAGUGGCGGACGGGUGAGUAAUGUCUGGGAAACUGCCUGAUGGAGGGGGAUAACUACUGGAAACGGUAGCUAAUACCGCAUACCAGCGGAUGUGCCCAGAGGGGAUUAUCUAGUAGGUGGGGUAACGGCUCACCUAGGCGACGAUCCCUAGCUGGUGUGAGAGGAUGACCAGCAACCCUGGAACUGAGACACGGUCCAGACUCCUGCGGGAGGCAGCAGUGGGGAAUAUUGCACAAUGGGCGCAAGCCUGAUGCAGCCAUGCCGCGUGUAUGAAGAAGGCCUUCGGAUUGUAAGGUACUUUCAGCGGGGAGGCGUUACCCGCAGAAGAAGCACCGGCUAACUCCGUGCCAGCAGCCGCGGUAAUUC